rnacentral:tRNA from 1 species
UCCCUGAUAGCUCAGCUGGUAGAGCAAUCGACUGUUAAUCGAUUGGUCGCCGGUUCGAGUCCUGUUAGGGAGCCA